UAAGGGAUAUUGCGCAAUGGGCGAAAGCCUGACGCAGCAACGCCGCGUGAAGGAUGAAGGCCUUCGGGUCGUAAACUUCUUUUCUCACUGACGAGGAAGGACGGUAGGUGAGGAAUCAGUCACGGCUAACUACGUGCCAGCAGCCGCGGUAAAACGUAGGUGGCGAGCGUUAUCCGGAUUUACUGGGCGUAAAGCGUGUGCAGGCGGACCACCAAGUGGUGUAUGAAAUCGCUCGGCUAAACCGGGCGGGGUUAUGCCAGACUGGUGGUCUGGAGUGCGAGAGAGGGGCGUGGAAUUCCGGGUGUAGUGGUGAAAUGCGUAGAGAUCCGGAGGAACCCCAGAGGCGAAGGCGGCGCCCUGGCUCGCAACUGACGCUCAGACACGACAGCAUGGGGAGCGAACGG
rnacentral:rRNA from 1 species